GCAUAUCAAUAAGCGGAGGAAAAGAAACCAACAGGGAUUGCCCCAGUAACGGCGAGUGAAGCGGCAACAGCUCAAAUUUGAAAUCUGGCCCCAGGCCCGAGUUGUAAUUUGCAGAGGAUGCUUUUGGCGCGGUGCCUUCCGAGUUCCCUGGAACGGGACGCCAUAGAGGGUGAGAGCCCCGUACGGUUGGACACCAAGUCUUUGUAAAGCUCCUUCGACGAGUCGAGUAGUUUGGGAAUGCUGCUCAAAAUGGGAGGUAUAUUUCUUCUAAAGCUAAAUAUUGGCCAGAGACCGAUAGCGCACAAGUAGAGUGAUCGAAAGAUGAAAAGCACUUUGAAAAGAGGGUUAAACAGCACGUGAAAUUGUUAAAAGGGAAGCGCUUAUGACCAGACUUGCGCCCGGUGAAUCACCCAGCUCUCGCGGCUGGGGCACUUUGCCGGCUCAGGCCAGCAUCAGCUCGCUGUCGGGGACAAAAGCUUCGGGAACGUAGCUCUCUUCGGGGAGUGUUAUAGCCCGUUGCACAAUACCCUUCGGCGGGCUGAGGUACGCGCUCCGCAAGGAUGCUGGCGUAAUGGUCAUCAGCGACCCGUCUUGAAACACGGACCAAGGAGUCAACCUUAUGUGCGAGUGUUUGGGUGUCAAACCCCUACGCGUAAUGAAAGUGAACGCAGGUGAGAGCUUCGGCGCAUCAUCGACCGAUCCUGAUGUUCUCGGAUGGAUUUGAGUAAGAGCAUAUAGGGUUGGACCCGAAAGAAGGUGAACUAUGCGUGUAUAGGGUGAAGCCAGAGGAAACUCUGGUGGAGGCUCGCAGCGGUUCUGACGUGCAAAUCGAUCGUCAAAUAUGCGCAUGGGGGCGAAAGACUAAUCGAACCUUCUAGUAGCUGGUUUCCGCGA
rnacentral:rRNA from 1 species